GCAGUCGUGGCCGAGUGGUUAAGGUGAUGGACCAGAAAUUCAUUGCGGUCUCCCCGCACAGGUUCGAAUCCUGUCGACUGCG
rnacentral:tRNA from 2 species